rnacentral:rRNA from 1 species
GACGAACGCUGGCGGCGUGCCUAACACAUGCAAGUCGAGCGAGAUCCAUCCAGUGGCAACACUGGUGAAGAUCUAGCGGCGAACGGGUGAGUAACACGUGAGAAACCUGCCCCGGAGACCGGGAUAACCCGAGGAAACUCGGGCUAAUACCGGAUACCCCCACCGAACCGCAUGAUUUGGUGAGGAAAUGCUCCGACGCUCCGGGAGGGUCUCGCGGCCUAUCAGCUAGUUGGUGAGGUAACGGCUCACCAAGGCUAAGACGGGUAGCUGGUCUGAGAGGACGAUCAGCCACACUGGGACUGAGACACGGCCCAGACUCCUACGGGUGGCAG